AGCAGCCGCGGUAAUUCCAGCUCCAAUAGCGUAUAUUAAAGUUGUUGCAGUUAAAAGCUCGUAGUUGAAUUUCGGGAUCAAUUAAUUGGUCGUGCCUCUGGUACGUACUGAUUUUAUUGGUUUCUCCCUUCUGACGAACCAUGAUGUCAUUAAUUUGGUGUCGUGGAGAAUCAGGACUGUUACUUUGAAAAAAUUAGAGUGUUUAAAGCAAGCUAACGCUUGAAUACAUUAGCAUGGAAUAAUGAAAUAGGACGUUUGAUCCUAUUUUGUUGGUUUCUAGGAUCGACGUAAUGAUUAAUAGGGAUAGUUGGGGGCAUUAGUAUUCAAUUGUCAGAGGUGAAAUUCUUGGAUUUAUUGAAGACUAACUACUGCGAAAGCAUUUGCCAAGGAUGUUUUCAUUAAUCAAGAACGAAAGUUAGGGAUCGAAGACGAUCAGAUACCGUCGUAGUCUUAACCAUAAACUAUGCCGACUAGGGAUCGGAUGAUGUUAAUUUUUUAAUGUACUCAUUCGGCGUC
rnacentral:misc_RNA from 1 species